AGGGACGUGAGCUGGGUCGGGACGUGAGCUGGGGCGGGACGUGAGCUGGGUCACGCUUGGGAAUAGCACAGGGGAUUGACUGUCGGGAGCCGAGGUGCAGGCGGUUUACCAACAGGAGUCCUCGCCAGGACUGUCAGUGCCUGGCACUGACUCGUCUUCCUCCUACAACAGACUCAAGGGGGCAAGCCUUCACCAACAGAUACUCAUCUGGAGGCUACAGACAUGGUUGUGUGAAGCUGACAGAUAGGAUCAUCUGUUUGAAUGCCUCUGGACACCGUGGGAAGACAAAAAAGAUAACUAUUAAAGAAUAUCAAGAGAUUUUGCUCUUGGAGACAUUCAGGUAACUAUUUUAAAUGAAGUGCUGGAUUUUCAGGUGAAGAUGGCAAAAUGAAGCCUUAUCACGGAAUGUUACUCAUGCAAAACCUAAGAAAAAUGGAUACAGUGGGGCAAAAUACACAUACACAAAUUAAAUGCAAAGAGGCAAAUUGAUACGUAAAAUUAAAAACCAGGUAAAAAUUUGCCAUCAACAACAAUUCAAGUAUAUGGGAUAGUGGUAGAUAAGAAACCGAAAAUUCAAAUCAGUCAGGUGAACAUUUUAAUUCUAUUGCUGCCUCCAAAAAGCAGAACUCAGAAGAUCAAUUGAUUAAAUUCUAAGACUUCUCACAAUAUCCUAUAGUUUGGAAAAGGUGGCCCUGAGUAAAACCAAGAGAGAAAACCCUUAAAGGAAAGGUCCCUUUUACACCUGUGGGAUGUUAGCAUGAGUAGGAAGGACUCUGAACCUGCCAUCUUCCAUGGCAAGUGUGUUUCAAGGUAAGUUCACUGGGCUUGGAAUGACCUCCAGAUUGGGCGAGACGGGCUUCUGAAAGAGACAGUCAAUGGGAUGUUUUGUUGGCUUGAUCAUCUGCCUCUCAGGACAAGCAUUUAAGUUCCAGAAAGCAGGGUCCUCUCUGAUAUCUUCGUUGCUAUAUUCCCAAGGCCAAAAUAAAAUAAAAAUAUAUUAAAGACCA
rnacentral:lncRNA from 1 species